rnacentral:rRNA from 1 species
CAGCCCCUCGAGUGGUGGGGAUGAUUAUUUGGCCUAAAGCGUCCGUAGCCGGCCGAGCAAGUCUUCCGUUAAAUCCAGCGUCUCAAGCGUUGGACCGCGGGAGAUACUACACGGCUAGAGAGUGGGAGAGGUCAGCGGUAUUCUGGGGGUAGGGGCGAAAUCCUUUGAUCCCCGGAGGACCACCAGUGGCGAAGGCUGCUGACUAGAACACGUCUGACGGUCAGGGACGAAAGCUUGGGUAGCGAACCGGAUUAGAGACCCGAGUAGUCC